CGGAGGUGCAAGUGAAGGAGCAGGACGGAGGAGUGGUGGACAAGGCCACCAUGGCCGCCUUUGACACAGCGCCUGCAUCUUCAUCCACUGCCUCUCUGCCAUGUGUCUUCUGAUUACCACAAUAACACAAUUUCCUUAUUCAUGCUUUACGGAUUCUUGCUGGAGGAGAUGAACUUUUAUGAGGAGCUGUUCAAGGCCAAGGUUUUCCUUGUGAGAAUGCCAUAAUUACAAGAAAAGAUUGCCUGAAAGGUCUUUAUGGAGAUGCACUCACUCGGUUAGAGGGCCUGUCGAGGCUAGCGUGAGGUCUGCUAUGGCAUCGAUGAUGUAGGUGUCAUGACUGUGAGGACUGCUCACACUUCUCCGCUCACAAACCGUGUGGCAGAGUAAAUACUCCGGUCCACGACAAUUAGACCUUCCUCCCUCCU